GGGUUGAUUCGGCUGAUCUGGCUGGCUAGGCGGGUGUCCCCUUCCUCCCUCACCGCUCCAUGUGCGUCCCUCCCGAAGCUGCGCGCUCGGUCGAAGAGGACGACCUUCCCCGAAUAGAGGAGGACCGGUCUUCGGUCAAGGGUAUACGAGUAGCUGCGCUCCCCUGCUAGAACCUCCAAACAAGCUCAAGGUCCAUUUGUAGGAGAACGUAGGGUAGUCAAGCUUCCAAGACUCCAGACACAUCCAAAUGAGGCGCUGCAUGUGGCAGUCUGCCUUUCUUU
rnacentral:snRNA from 1 species